UAGGGAAUAUUCCGCAAUGGGCGAAAGCCUGACGGAGCAACGCCGCGUGAAGGAUGAAGUAUUUCGGUAUGUAAACUUCGAAAGAAUAGGAAGAAUAAAUGACGGUACUAUUUAUAAGGUCCGGCUAACUACGUGCCAGCAGCCGCGGUAAUACGUAGGGACCAAGCGUUGUUCGGAUUUACUGGGCGUAAAGGGCGCGUAGGCGGCAAUUCAAGUCAUCUGUGAAAUCUCCGGGCUUAACUCGGAACGGUCAGAUGAUACUGCUUUGCUAGAGUGCAGAAGGGGCAAUCGGAAUUCUUGGUGUAGCGGUGAAAUGCGUAGAUAUCAAGAGGAACACCUGAGGUGAAGACGGGUUGCUGGGCUGACACUGACGCUGAGGCGCGAAAGCCAGGGGAGCAAACGGGAUUAGAUACCCGGGUAGUCCCUGAGCGGGCUGGCAAGGCGCAU
rnacentral:rRNA from 1 species